UUUUUGUCCUUAUUUAUAUUUUCUUGUGGGCCCAUUAUACUUCAAGAGGGUGAUGGGCGGUGUGUGCGUGCUUCAUGGCGUAGUUCAAUUAAGCACUCUAUUCUUAAUUUGCUACUAAACCCUCCUUUAGCCUUCAAUUUCAUAAGAGCCUUCGUUAGAGCUGUAGAUUUUCUUGGCGGCAAGAAAAUGCAGCCCAUUUCUUCCCAUCCCAUUGGUUACACCUUGACCUAACAUUUUCAUUUUUAAAUAGUUAAGCUUACUUUUAUUCCCUUCGGGGGUUUGCUGGAGAUGGCGGUAUAUAGACUGAAUUAGCGAGGGUUGGUAAGGUUGAUUGGGGUUUAUUGAUUAUAGAACAGGCUCCUCUAGGAGGGUAUGAAGCACCGCCAAGUCCUCUGAGUGUUAAGCAGUUGCUAGUAGUACUCUGGCAAGCGAUUUUCUCAUCAUAAUCACCUGGGUUUAAGGCUAAGCAUAGUGGGGUAUCUAAUCCCAGUUUGGGUCUUAGCUGUCGUGUAAUUAGAUAGUACUAGGGUCACUUCCGUAGUUUAUUUUCACUCUGGCUAUAGCCAUCUACAUCCUAGCCAGGGCUUAACUCUAUUUUUUUGUUGUUGUUGUUGUUACUCAUUAACACACUUUACGCCGUAUCUCUAUUAAUUCGGGUUGAUCGUAUGACCGCGGUGGCUUGCACGAAAUUUACCAACCCUGAAUAAUAUAACUUAGUCAAACUUCCAUUUAUGACUUAAUUUUUUAUCACUGCUGUAUCCCGUGGGGGUGUAGUUAAGCAAGGCGUCGUUAGCUACAGCUUUGUGUGCUUGAUGCCGGCUCCUUUUAUCCAUUGAGAGUUAGGGGCCAUUCUCACUGGGAUGCAGAUACUUGCAUGUGUAAUUUCAUU